GACGAACGCUGGCGGCGUGCUUAACACAUGCAAGUCGAACGAAGAGCGAUGGAAGCUUGCUUCUAUCAAUCUUAGUGGCGAACGGGUGAGUAACGCGUAAUCAACCUGCCCUUCAGAGGGGGACAACAGUUGGAAACGACUGCUAAUACCGCAUACGAUCUAAUCUCGGCAUCGAGGAUAGAUGAAAGGUGGCCUCUACAUGUAAGCUAUCACUGAAGGAGGGGAUUGCGUCUGAUUAGCUAGUUGGAGGGGUAACGGCCCACCAAGGCGAUGAUCAGUAGCCGGUCUGAGAGGAUGAACGGCCACAUUGGAACUGAGACACGGCCCAGACUCCUACGGGAGGCAGCAGUGGGGAAUCUUCCGCAAUGGACGAAAGUCUGACGGAGCAACGCCGCGUGAGUGAUGACGGCCUUCGGGUUGUAAAGCUCUGUUAAUCGGGACGAAAGGCCUUCUUGCGAAUAGUGAGAAGGAUUGACGGUACCGGAAUAGAAAGCCACGGCUAACUACGUG
rnacentral:rRNA from 1 species